UGCGUUUGAAUGCUUGCUCCCCAGUGGGGAUAUUUUAGGAAAGGAGACAUAGGCAGAGGAGAUGAUUGCUGGAUAUGAGACUUUGAGGGCUGUAGCCCGGCCCUAUUUCUGGUCUGGUUCUCUGCUACCUGACUUACCAAGAUGUAAACAGGUAUACUCUACCUCACUGCAGUAGUCACCAUGACUUCCCACCACAAUGAACUGUAGUCUCGGUAACAGCAAGCCAACAUAAUCCUCUCUCUCAAGGCAUUCCUGCUGGAUAUUUUGUUACAGCCAUGUAAAAAAGUUACUGAUACAGAUGCCAAAGUGGUAUGUCAGUCCAAGGUUGUGUGUGGGUCAGCAAGACACAAUGAUCUUUCCUGUCCUUAGCAGAGGAUGAGGCCAGAAAGGUAAUCCUGAGAACUCCCUGAACUAUCCAGAGCCUCUGCCAUAAGCAUGCCUACGCUACAGAACCACAGGAAUAUAUAGCAACAAGAUGGAAGUCUGACAUGGAGC
rnacentral:lncRNA from 1 species